rnacentral:lncRNA from 1 species
CAGCUGUCAGGCCAGCAGCAGCACCGCACACACACACAUGUCGGAAGAGUGAGACAUUCUAGCUCAGGGUCUUCGGGAUCAGACCCUUCCAGUGAGUGGGAAAGCAGCAGUCAGCGGUCACACAGCCCGAGCCCAGGGACACACAACCGGUGCGGGACACCGACCCAACAUCGGACCCUAAACUGCAGUACAGAGACGGAGAGCCCACCAUCCACACAGUGGCAGCUGGACAGGUGGCUUGAGAAAGUCCCUAAAAAUCAUCAUUCAUCUGACCACGACCCAGGUGGAGGACAGCGACGGAGUGCGAAAUCUGACUGUGGCCGAGGACCAUCACCUGGAAGAUACUGGAGCAGAGACUCUGAGUCCAGACGGGAUUACAGUCCAUGUGAAAGUCCGGUCCCAAGUCCAAAAUUUGACUACAGCCCCAGAAACAGUCCUCAUCCCAGCCCAGAAUACAGUCCAUGCCCCAGUCCAGGAAUUAGCCUUGUGCCGAGCCCAGUGCCAAGUGUAUGUCCAAGUCCAGGAGACAGCCUCCAAGGGAGUCGAAGUCCCAGCCCUUUACCUUUACACCCUCCCAGAAGCCCCAGUCCAAGUCUUUCAUCCACCGCAGUACCUAGCCAAGGUACAUAUCCUCAGGUACAGCCACCUCAAAAAGAAAGUCCAAGGCAUAUUGCAAGGCCAACCGUUACCUCUAAUCCAGCACAUCAUCCCAAAGUAAGGCCAUGGGUACCUCUGGACCAUAGCGCCAACCAGAGAAAGGAGUUUAGACCCAAAGACUCUAGAUCCAGAGACUCUCGAUCCAAAGACUCUAGACCUGGUCCUCCCCAACAACCCCAUCAUUCCGAACACAACUCAACAGAAAAGUCACACAAAGAUCUCACACACAAACCUGAAGCCAAAAACUCUGAAACCACAUGCAAGCAAAGGUUUAACUCACCUUCAAACCCCAUUUCAAAGCAUUUGUCAAAGCAAAGACCAAGCGUUAGCCCAAAACCACAAGCCAGGCACUCAUCUACAACUGACCAUAGUAUUGAACAUAAUCACAGAAGCAAUGAACCUACAGGGGUGUCAAUCCACAGUUCACACUCCAAAUCAGGCCAUUCAUCUCAUUUUAAUACUCUAAAGAGUUCCGAACGUGGUCCCUCGUCAAAAUCCAGGGACUCAUCCCGAAGCGAAGUCAACAGUCGAUCUAGUCACAGCUUGAAGACUAAAUCUUUCCCGGAUACAAAGCAGUCCAUCUCCAAACAGACUUCCCAACAGAGUUCAAGCCCAAAGCCCAAGGUCAAACUAGGGGAUGCCCCAGUGCCAAGAACCGGGCAUUCCCAAAAAGACCCAAAGCCCAGAGAGAGAGAGCGAGAGGUGGACAACCGAGGUAAGGCCCAGGGAGCAACCCUGGUGCAGACCAGCAAGGAGCAGAGACAAAGACUGGCGGAGGAGCAAGUAAUAAGGCGUCGCUGGGUUCGGAGUUCUGAGGAAGAGGAAGACGAGGAAGAUAGGAGAACCGAGGAAGGGGAAAGAGAGAGGAAGCGGAGGAGAAGGAGGGAGCAGGAAGUUGAAUGGAAGGCAGUGCAGCCCAAGCAAAGACCUCACACCAACAGCCAGCAUCACGCUCAAAAGGAAUACAAUGGACUUAACCUUGAGGAGCAGAGAAGGAAGAAGAGAAGGUGGAACAAUGAGGACAUUUCCUCAGGUCCUCAUGUGACAGACACUAGCCUUUCUCCUCCACUUUCUCCACCUUCCCCUACUCCUGUCAUCAAGCCCACUCGUCCAUCAUCUUCCUCGUCCUCAUCCUCCUCAUCAUCAUCGUCGUCCUCAUCAUCUUCCUCCGAGUCAGACUCUGAGUCCAGUCCACCCCGGAAUGUUGCCAAAUUCCCUGCAGAUUCAACAUCAAACCAAAAAACUGUGUCAAAAAGGAGCAAUGACAAACAGACUUCUGGCACUGGUGCUCACCCCCACGGGUCGAGCUUAAGCACCCCUGAGACAGAUAAACAAGGUCGGGGCAGACACAAACUCUACACACUGGUGCCUUUCGGCCGAUCUGAAAAGUCCCCCACGGUCGCACAUCGAGGCCUGAGAAAACUUCAAACCAAAAAACCUAGUAGUCAAAAAGGAGCAAUAGACAAACAGACUUCUGGCACUGGUGCUCACCCCCACCGGGUCGAGCUUAAGCACCCCUGAGACAGAUAAACAAGGUACGGGGCAGACACAAACUCUACACACUGGUGCCUUUCGGCCGAUCUGAAAAGUCCCCCACGGUCGCACAUCGAGGCCUGAGAAAACUUGUUGUGAGGAUAGACCUCUCACUUCUGGGUAGAGUCCCUAGUGCAGAUGAGAUUACCGAGAGACAGUCCUCAUCUUCAGCUUUGUCACUGGGAAAGGCAAAAGAAAAGACAUCAAUGAAACACCUGCAUCACUUGGACCAACUGCCGGGAAAUGGCAGAAGUAAAAGAAAAGUGAGGAAGAGAAAAGCAUCUUUAUUUUUAAUCAAUAUAUACAAAUCUACAAUUCUUAAAUGAAUGUUCUUCUAAAUAUGAGAUUUGUGUUUUUGCAUACAUGUAAGUUUUUUAUUGUGUAUUUUACUAUAUCAGGCUGAAAAUGGAGAUGCUCAAAGAGAGAAUAAGAGAAAUCAAUCACGUGCAGAUAAACUACCAGUGUCAGUCCAUAAUGAGACUGAGGAAACCUUCAACAAGCAAAAUGGGUAUAUUUAGACCUAAUCACUUAAUUUCUUUGUGAUGAGGAACUUUUUUUUUCAUCAUGCAUCAGUGCUCUCUCUUUGCAGAUACAGUUUACGUAAUAUUAAAUAAGCUGUUAUCUUGCUCUGAAAGUAUAAUUUUGUUGAUUCAGAAAAUGUAUACUAUUGCAAAUACAUACUUGCAUGAGGCCAAGCAGACAUUAUUA